AGAGAGAGACAUGCGCGCAUAUCAAUAAGCGGAGGAAAAGAAACUAACAAGGAUUCCCUUAGUAACGGCGAGUGAAGCGGGAAGGGCUCAAAUUUGAAAUCUUCAAGGUUUUACCUUGACGAAUUGUAGUUUAAAGAAGUGUUUUCUGCUGAAGUUUUGGUAAAAGUUCUUUGGAAUAGGACAUCAUAGAGGGUGAGAAUCCCGUAUUUGACCAUUAUUUUCAGCUUUGUGAUACACUUUCAAAGAGUCGGAUUGUUUGGGAAUGCAGUCCAAAAUGGAUGGUAAAUUUCAUCUAAAGCUAAAUAUUGGCGAGAGACCGAUAGCGAACAAGUACCGUGAGGGAAAGAUGAAAAGAACUUUGAAAAGAGAGUUAAACAGUGCGUGAAAUUGUCAAAAGGGAAGCGUUUGACACCAGUGUUGUUUUCUCGAAAAUCAAUUAAAAAUGGCUCGAUUUUGUAUUGUUGAGACCUUAAAAGCUCACUGUACAUUUUUCGUGUCUUUUUUAAUGCACUUUUCGUUUAACAAGUCAACAUCAGUUUCUUUUGUCGUAAAAGGGUCAUUGGAAGGUGGCUUUCUUUUCGGAGAAAGUGUUUAUAGCCUUUGGCCUCUGCAAUCGGAGAGAUUGAGGUCUGCAGCGUAGACUCCUUCGGGGUUAGAUACAUUUGUGCUAAGUUAUAGCCUUUUCAUAGACAACUUGUUGACUAUAAUCAGUCAUGUAGCUUACUCGCUUAUGCUAUUUUACCUACGCUUAGGAUGUUGAAGAUGUAGCACAUCAU
rnacentral:rRNA from 1 species